GCCAAUGAGGAUAUUAUCCAUGUUACCUGAGGUGUAGUGGAACUAAGACCCUGUUUUACAGGGUGAACCUACUUGGGGAAGCUGCAUUUCACAUGAAAUUAAUGGAUUUAACUGAGGC